ensembl:ncRNA T10D4.16 ncRNA
CCCAAUGCCAAGGCCCAAGGCCCAAAACCCCCAAAGCCCAAGGCCCAAGGCCGAAGCCCCAAGGCCCAAUGCCCAAGGCCCAA